rnacentral:rRNA from 1 species
AGAGUUUGAUCAUGGCUCAGGACGAACGCUGGCGGCGUGCCUAACACAUGCAAGUCGAACGGGGUACCCUUGACAGAGGCUUCGGCCAAUGGAGAGGAAUACCUAGUGGCGGACGGGUGAGUAACGCGUGAGUAAUCUGCCUUUAGGAGGGGGAUAACAGCUGGAAACAGCUGCUAAUACCGCAUAAUGUAUCGGGAUGGCAUCAUCGUGAUACCAAAGGAGCAAUCCGCCUUUAG